rnacentral:rRNA from 1 species
GACGAACGCUGGCGGCGUGCUUAACACAUGCAAGUCGAACGGAAAGGCCCUGCUUUUGUGGGGUGCUCGAGUGGCGAACGGGUGAGUAACACGUGAGUAACCUGCCCUUGACUUUGGGAUAACUUCAGGAAACUGGGGCUAAUACCGGAUAGGAGCUCCUGCUGCAUGGUGGGGGUUGGAAAGUUUCGGCGGUUGGGGAUGGACUCGCGGCUUAUCAGCUUGUUGGUGGGGUAGUGGCUUACCAAGGCUUUGACGGGUAGCCGGCCUGUGAGGGUGACCGGCCACAUUGGGACUGAGGUACGGCCCAGACUCCUACGGGAGGCAGCAGUGGGGAAUAUUGCACAAUGGUCGGAAGCCUGAUGCAGCAACGCCGCGUGCGGGAUGACGGCCUUCGGGUUGUAAACCGCUUUCGCCUGUGACGAAGCGUGAGUGACGGUAAUGGGUAAAGAAGCACCGGCUAACUACGUG